rnacentral:rRNA from 1 species
UACGUAGGUGGCAAGCGUUGUCCGGAUUUACUGGGCGUAAAGGGCGUGCAGGCGGUUUGUUAAGUCUAGGGUGAAAGCUCCCGGCUCAACUGGGAGAGGUCCUUGGAUACUGGCGAACUUGAGGGAUGCAGAGGAAAGUGGAAUUCCCGGUGUAGCGGUGGAAUGCGUAGAGAUCGGGAAGAACAUCAGUGGCGAAGGCGGCCUGCUGGGCUGUUGCUGACGCUGAGGCGCGACAGCGUGGGGAGCAAACAGG